AGUGAACGCUGGCGGUAGGCCUAACACAUGCAAGUCGAACGGCAGCACAGUAAGAGCUUGCUCUUACGGGUGGCGAGUGGCGGACGGGUGAGGAAUACAUCGGAAUCUACCUUUUCGUGGGGGAUAACGUAGGGAAACUUACGCUAAUACCGCAUACGACCUACGGGUGAAAGCAGGGGAUCUUCGGACCUUGCGCGAUUGAAUGAGCCGAUGUCGGAUUAGCUAGUUGGCGGGGUAAAGGCCCACCAAGGCGACGAUCCGUAGCUGGUCUGAGAGGAUGAUCAGCCACACGGGAACUGGGACACGGUCCAGACUCCUACGGGAGGCAGCGGUGGGGAAUAUUGGACAAUGGGCGCAAGCCUGAUCCAGCCAUACCGCGUGGGUGAAGAAGGCCUUCGGGUUGUAAAGCCCUUUUGUUGGGAAAGAAAAGCAGCAGGUUAAUACCCCGCUGUUCUGACGGUACCCAAAGAAUAAGCACCGGCUAACUUCGUG
rnacentral:rRNA from 1 species